rnacentral:rRNA from 1 species
UACGAAGGGUCCAAGCGUUAUCCGGAUUUAUUGGGGUUAAAGGGCGCGUAGGCGGUCAUUUAAGUCAGACGUGAAAUCCCUCGGCUCAACCGAGGAACUGCGUCUGAUACUGGAAGGCUUGAAUCCGGGAGAGGGAUGUGGAAUUCCAGGUGUAGCGGUGAAAUGCGUAGAUAUCUGGAGGAACACCGGUGGCUAAGGCGGCAUCCUGGACCGGUAUUGACGCUGAGGCGCGAAAGCUAGGGGAGCAAACGGG